rnacentral:rRNA from 1 species
UGGGGAAUAUUGCACAAUGGGGGAAACCCUGAUGCAGCGACGCCGCGUGAGCGAAGAAGUAUUUCGGUAUGUAAAGCUCUAUCAGCAGGGAAGAAAAUGACGGUACCUGACUAAGAAGCCCCGGCUAACUACGUGCCAGCAGCCGCGGUAAUACGUAGGGGGCAAGCGUUAUCCGGAUUUACUGGGUGUAAAGGGAGCGUAGACGGAGCAGCAAGUCUGAUGUGAAAACCCGGGGCUCAACCCCGGGACUGCAUUGGAAACUGUUGAUCUGGAGUGCCGGAGAGGUAAGCGGAAUUCCUAGUGUAGCGGUGAAAUGCGUAGAUAUUAGGAGGAACACCAGUGGCGAAGGCGGCUUGCUGGACUGUAACUGACACUGAGGCUCGAAAGCGUGGGGAGCAAACA